GACUCUCGGCAACGGAUAUCUCGGCUCUUGCAUCGAUGAAGAACGUAGCGAAAUGCGAUACUUGGUGUGAAUUGCAGAAUCCCGUGAACCAUCGAGUCUUUGAACGCAAGUUGCGCCCGAGGCCUUCUGGUCGAGGGCACGUCUGCCUGGGCGUCA
rnacentral:rRNA from 88 species